rnacentral:rRNA from 1 species
AUUGAACGCUGGCGGCAGGCCUAACACAUGCAAGUCGAACGAGUGGCGUACGGGUGAGUAAUGUCUGGGAAACUGCCCGAUGGAGGGAGAUAACUACUGGAACCGGUAGCUAAUACCGCAUACCAUCGGAUGUGCCCAGAUGGGAUUAGCUAGUAGGUGGGGUACCGUCUUACCUAGUCGACGAUCCCUAGCUGGGCUGAGAGGAUGACCAGCAAAACUGGAACUGAGACACGGUCCAGACUCCUACGGGAGGCAGCAGUGGGGAAUAUUGCACAAUGGGCGCAAGCCUGAUGCAGCCAUGCCGCGUGUAUGAAGAAGGCCUUCGGGUUGUAAAGUACUUUCAGCGGGGAGGCGUUACCCGCAGAAGAAGCACCGGCUAACUCCGUGCCAGCCGCCGCGGUAAUUC